rnacentral:lncRNA from 1 species
ACAGGUAAAAUAAAUAAUUAUAGAUAGAAAAGUUUAAAUGUAUGAAGAUACACAACAACUAUAAUUUGUAUGAUGUUACAAUCAGGUAAGAACAAGUAAAAUUCUAAAUUUUGAAUUUCAUAAUGGGUCAUAUCUGUUUUUGAAUUAAUCGCCCUUAAAUUAAAGUUUUGAAAUCUUCAAUCCAGCAAUAACAAGACAACACGCAAAACCACACCCGUAGACCAAACAGUAUACAAAGUAUGGCGGCCUAUAUAAAAACGAGAAACAAAGAAAACUUAUAAACCACAAAAACAAACGACAAAGUUCACAUCAAUUAAUGAUAAGAAUGAUUAAGAAUUUAACCAAACGAUAUCAACACGUAAGAGUAUGAUGUCCUUGGUCGAAUAACAAAGCGUGCAUGAUACCGCAAGUCAAACCACACAUCAUACACAUGGUCUGUUGAUUUUAUAGAAAUAAACGCGGAAACAAUUCAUCUGGUAAUUACAUUAUAUAUGCGUAUCAAUUUAGGAUAUACGUGUGCCUUUCCGCUUAAUAAUUGUUCGUGUAAUGGGGAUUGCUCUUUUCAACCCUAUAUCUUAAAAGCUGACUACAUAUAUCUGGCACCUCAGUAUAUACUAUUCCUAUACAGUUUUACAAUUAGAAAAUUGGGCCAGCAAAUAAACUACUUUUAAUGUACUUGUUUAAUGAGAGAAAACAACUUGAAAUAACAACGAACAUAUACUAACAAACAUAUUUAAAAUGGCUCUUUAUUACACUCUUAGUUUGUACCAAAGUAUGAUUCUAAAUCAAAUGUAAGUGUAUGAAUCAGUUAUAAGUUCAAGAAAAGAAGUUUGAUUAGUUUAUAAUUUUCUCUCUUUAAUUUGAAUUAUUUCAAAAGUACCUGUUUUAAAGAUUUUGGUAUUUGAAAUGUCAGCGUCAUAAAAAAAACUUGACAUUGGUUGUUAUGUUGUGUUUACAGAUUCAAAUAUAAUUGAAUGAAUGCGCGAAGAAAAAAGAACGUAUCACUUAAGUGUUGACCAUUUUUUUUUUACAAAAUUGAAGCACCAUAAUUGUUGAUAGCUUUAUAGAUAAUCAUCAUUCCGAAUACCAUUAAAUGAUAAUACAAAACUGAAGAGUGUUUGCAUCUUAGAAAAAUCUCUCUGUCCAUAAAUUCAAGUUUUGUCCUUUUCUAUUUCAUGAUUUUGUGUACACCAAAAGUGAAAACACAGGUAAAGAGUUAUAAAGUAUGCAUAAUGAGACAAAUUAAUGGCAAAUGUUUAUGUGUUUCGAUAAACAUACUAUAGCUUCAUUCAUUUAUUAAAAUUGUCUUAACCUGUAAUUUUUUUUAAAUAAAAACAAAACAAUCUACGAAUUUUACACAAUGUUUGCAAUUGUCUGAGCUUCCAACUUCUUAAUAAUCGCUCAAUAGUCCCGAAUGAAAAUCAUAAGGUGUAAAAUUUUAGUAAAAACUGCUGUUUACACGUUUUCAAACCCUACCAAUAUAUUUUUAAAAUGCAAUUCAAGUUAAAUGAAAAAUGGAGCGAAAUGGAGCGAAAUGGAGCGAAUUCAGGCUUGUCAACAGUGUAAACAUUUUGUGUGAUGCAUAAAGUUUAAUUUACUCUUAGGUCUCAUGAAUUUUAGAAACCUCAAUUUUUUUUCUAUUCUUUUCGUAAAUAAACUAGCUUACUGUUGGACUUGUUAGAUAUUCCCAAUAGGAAUUGACAUUUCAGUUUUCGUUGCUAAGCCAAAAAACAUAUAUUUUAGCUUUUUAGUAAGCACAAUUUUUUGUAUUCAUAUUUUUUCAUAGGUUCAACGUGUGGAUUGUAGAUCGGGUGAAGUGGAUAUCAUAAGGCACCAUCUUUGUGUUCAAAUAAGACACGUAACUUUCAGAAAUGACCACUAACGAAAUUGCAUCAUGCUGCAACAUUUGUCUAACCAGGGACCUAAAUAAGUUGGCGGAGGAAUAUUGUCCGCAAUGUGAAGAGGCUCUUUGUGGAGACUGUCAACAUUAUCAUAAUAUAUCGAAAUCAACAAAAUCACAUCAGACAAUCUCUUUAGCAAAAUAUAACAAAUUACUGUGGAUUCAUUAUUAUUCGUUGGAUACCAAUUUUCGUGGUUUUCGUGGGUACAGGUGAACCACGAAUUCAAAUAUUCAAC